CAUGCUGCGCGGAAAUGGGGCGACACAGCGGGUCAAACCAGGACACCGUCCCGUGCCAGGCAUCCCCCUCUGAGAGACCCGUUGUGACAAAUCUACUGUAAACUGGCACCUGAGUUUACGGUAAAAUGGUUUAAAAAAACGAAAUAUUGAUCUGCAUUGAAAAGUAUCCUGCAUCAGUUCCUACACAGAUUCAUUCUUGUCUGUUGUUAGUGGUUAAACGGGAGUUCUCCUACCCACAGGAAUGUGUCGGCCAGAAGCCCUGAGAUGUGAGUUAUUUGUGCUCUUCCUUCUGAAUCCCUGAGAUGUGAGUUAUUUGUGCUCUUCCUUUUGAAUCCCUGAGAUGUGUGUUAUUUGUGCUCUUCCUUUUGAAUCCCUGAGAUGUGAGUUAUUUGUGCUCUCCGUUCUGAAUCCCUGAGAUGUGAGUUAUUUGCUCCAUUCUGAAUCCCUGAGAUGUGAGUUAUUUGCUCCAUUCUGAAUCCCUGAGAUUUCAGUUAUUUGCGCUCUCUGUUCCAAAGGUCCCGGCCCAGCCGGUCCGGGGUUUCCGCCCCUGCACACAGGGGCACCGUCCUGAAACAGGAAUGGGACGGCUGCAGCUGCCGCCCCCCCCACAGCUGCACUGAGCCGAGGCUGUUUUUCGGGUGGAGUGGGACUCCAACGGACCCAUGGCACAGUUGUUCCCCUCUAUGGAGUGUUUUUUGCCAAGAGCGGUUUCUGACACGUUCAGUGCGCGGAGCUUCCUGUACCAAACGAAACACGAACAAACAAACAACAGACAAACACAACCCCCUGCAUCUGCGAGAGAAACAUCUGGUAAGAAACGAGUACUUUUCCCCACGCUAUUUUUUUUUUUUUUUGUCUUUCAAAUCCUUACACAAUUAGUGUGACGGUCCAGCGUCCAGAUUGCUACACUGAUGCGUUCCAGGAUGAAGCCAGGUCCAAGUUCCGGACGCUGAACACCAUUCCAAAUUGGAGUGAAAGAGCAUUCCGGAACAGGCCGAUGUUCCGCGUGCACGUUUCCCCCAGGCAGAAUGAGGUUAGGACUCCGUUACUGUUUCUAAAGUGAAUCUUUCACUUCAGCAUCUGGCGUCGUAUGUUUUUGUUGUUGUUGUUCUUGUUAAUGGACACCCAUCACAGAACAGGAUCCCCUUGUGAUCCCAGUCCUCGGGGGGAGGUGGUUUUUUACAAAGCAAGCAGUCCCAAGUUUCUUUUAUUUUUUUUCUCAGCCACUGUCUCCAGUGUUGGCACAAGGCCGCUGUGCCUUUUAAAACAUAUAUUCCGAAUACAACUCU